UUUAAGCGUGUAGGCUGGUUUUCCAGGCAAAUCCGGAAAAUCAAGGCUGAGGCGUGACGACGAGGCACUACGGUGCUGAAGCAACAAAUGCCCUGCUUCCAGGAAAAGCCUCUAAGCAUCAGGUAACAUCAAAUCGUACCCCAAACCGACACAGGUGGUCAGGUAGAGAAUACCAAGGCGCUUGAGAGAACUCGGGUGAAGGAACUAGGCAAAAUGGUGCCGUAACUUCGGGAGAAGGCACGCUGACACGUAGGUGAAGUGAUUUACUCAUGGAGCUGAAGUCAGUCGAAGAUACCAGCUGGCUGCAACUGUUUAUUAAAAACACAGCACUGUGCAAACACGAAAGUGGACGUAUACGGUGUGACGCCUGCCCGGUGCCGGAAGGUUAAUUGAUGGGGUCAGCGCAAGCGAAGCUCCUGAUCGAAGCCCCGGUAAACGGCGGCCGUAACUAUAACGGUCCUAAGGUAGCGAAAUUCCUUGUCGGGUAAGUUCCGACCUGCACGAAUGGCGUAAUGAUGGCCAGGCUGUCUCCACCCGAGACUCAGUGAAAUUGAACUCGCUGUGAAGAUGCAGUGUACCCGCGGCAAGACGGAAAGACCCCGUGAACCUUUACUAUAGCUUGACACUGAACAUUGAGCCUUGAUGUGUAGGAUAGGUGGGAGGCUUUGAAGUGUGGACGCCAGUCUGCAUGGAGCCGACCUUGAAAUACCACCCUUUAAUGUUUGAUGUUCUAACGUGGACCCGUGAUCCGGGUUGCGGACAGUGUCUGGUGGGUAGUUUGACUGGGGCGGUCUCCUCCUAAAGAGUAACGGAGGAGCACGAAGGUUGGCUAAUCCUGGUCGGACAUCAGGAGGUUAGUGCAAUGGCAUAAGCCAGCUUGACUGCGAGCGUGACGGCGCGAGCAGGUGCGAAAGCAGGUCAUAGUGAUCCGGUGGUUCUGAAUGGAAGGGCCAUCGCUCAACGGAUAAAAGGUACUCCGGGGAUAACAGGCUGAUACCGCCCAAGAGUUCAUAUCGACGGCGGUGUUUGGCACCUCGAUGUCGGCUCAUCACAUCCUGGGGCUGAAGUAGGUCCCAAGGGUAUGGCUGUUCGCCAUUUAAAGUGGUACGCGAGCUGGGUUUAGAACGUCGUGAGACAGUUCGGUCCCUAUCUGCCGUGGGCGCUGGAGAACUGAGGGGGGCUGCUCCUAGUACGAGAGGACCGGAGUGGACGCAUCACUGGUGUUCGGGUUGUCAUGCCAAUGGCACUGCCCGGUAGCUAAAUGCGGAAGAGAUAAGUGCUGAAAGCAUCUAAGCACGAAACUUGCCCCGAGAUGAGUUCUCCCUGAGACUUAAAGUCUCCUGAAGGAACGUUGAAGACGACGACGUUGAUAGGCCGGGUGUGUAAGCGCAGCGAUGCGUUGAGCUAACCGGUACUAAUGAACCGUGAGGCUUAACCUUACAACGCCG
rnacentral:rRNA from 1 species